UGAGUACGAGAUGCUACGGCAUCGAAGCAGUCUAUGUCAUACUUCCAAGAAAAGCUUGCACUGUCAUAAACAAAGAAUGCCUGUACCAUAACCGACACAGGUGGGUAGGUAGAGUAUACUAAGGGGCGCGAGAUAACUCUCUCUAAGGAACUCGGCAAAAUGACUCCGUAACUUCGGGAGAAGGAGUGCCUUAUUUAUAAGGUUGCAAUAACAAGAUCCAAGCAACUGUUUAUCAAAAACACAGGUCUCCGCUAAGUCGUAAGACGAUGUAUGGGGGCUGACGCCUGCCCAGUGCCAGAAGGUUAAAGAAGUUGGUUAGUGUAUGCGAAGCUGAUGACUGAAGCCCUGGUGAACGGCGGCCGUAACGAUAACGGUCCUAAGGUAGCGAAAUUCCUUGUCGGGUAAGUUCCGACCCGCACGAAAGGCGUAAUGAUUUGGAUACUGUCUCGGAGAGAGGCUCGGUGAAAUAGACUUGUCUGUGAAGAUGCGGACUACCUGCACCAGGACAGAAAGACCCUAUGAAGCUUUACUGUAACUUGAAAUUGGAAUUGGACUUUGCUUGCGCAGUAUAGGUGGGAAGCGUUGAAAAUAUUCUUGCGGGAGUAUUGGAGCUAUCAGUGAGAUACCACUCUUGUAAUGUUAGAUUUCUAACUUUGAACCAUAAUCUGGUCAAAGAACAGUUUCAGGUGGGCAGUUUGACUGGGGCGGUCGCCUCCCAAAUGGUAACGGAGGCGUACAAAGGUUUCCUCUGAACGGAUAGAAAUCGUAUCUAGAGUGUAAAGGCAUAAGGAAGCUUGACUGUGAGACCUACAAGUCGAGCAGGGACGAAAGUCGGUCUUAGUGAUCUGACGGUACUGAGUGGAAAGGCCGUCACUCAACGGAUAAAAGUUACUCUAGGAUAACAGGCUGAUCUCCCCCAAGAGUUCACAUCGACGGGGAGGUUUGGCACCUCGAUGUCGGCUCAUCGCAUCCUGGGGCGGUAGUACGUCCCAAGGGUUGGGCUGUUCGCCCAUGAAAGCGGUACGCGAGCUGGGUUCAGAACGUCGUGAGACAGUUCGGUCCAUAUCCGGUGUAGGCGCUAGAAUAUUGAGAGGGGCCUUCUUUAGUACGAGAGGACCGAGAAGGACACACCGCUGGUGUACCAGUUAUCGUGCCAACGGUAAACGCUGGGUAGCUAUGUGUGGAGUGGAUAACCGCUGAAAGCAUCUAAGUGGGAAGCCCACCUCGAGAUGAGUAUUCUC
rnacentral:rRNA from 1 species